CCUUUAUACCAGUGAAUAACCCUCCAAACUGGGGAUGGUGUAACAAAACACUUUAGUAAAGAAGUUGCACCUUAACUGAAAAAGAUACACAGCUGUAUUUAGACCAAAAGCUUGUUUUUCUUUCAUAGCUACAUUCAGCAAUACAUUAGGACUAAGGGGCUCAAAUGCAGUUAGGCUAAGUGUCUCCAGCAAGUGCCAUUAUGACCCUUUCCCUUCACCCUUGCCUGAUGUUGUGACUGACCCACCACUGCUACAUUUGGGGCCAAGCAGAGUCUUCCUCUAUCAUAGCCCUGGUCUACAUGCUUUGUGCACCAUAUAACUAGUUCAGUAAUAACACACUUACUAUUGCAGUUAAUAUCAGUAUAAAAGGUAUACCUUAUGCCCCUUCCAGUUUACAGUAAUAAACUAUUUAACAGUAUAAUGCAUCUUUAGGCCUGGCUCCAUGCUGGAAAAAAAAGCUCUCUCAACUGACAGUCACACUUUUUCUGUUAAUAUACCAGUAGUAGCUGUAUACCAGUAGUAAUUGUAUACAUACAAUUAUACUACUAUAAAGGUUUUCUUGUACUGUAUACACAUACCUAUAACUCACUUGCUUCCCAAAGCAGGAUAUAUUAAUAGUGACAAACAAUUUAACUGCAAUUAUAUUUCGGGGGUGUACCAUUUUAAAUAUAUAGGAUAGUUAUUCUGGUUAUGUACUGUAAAGCCCCUGACUGCUGCUCAGUCUGUCAGAGAAGCUGAGGCCACCUUAGUGAGCAGCAGUUCCAUACUUGGUCACCCAGAGGCCUCUCUAUGAAGGUCCCCAGCAUCACUGCAUCAUGGGAUGGUAGCAGCUGGAGUUCCCUGCACACAGGGUAUAUAUGGACUAGAAUAAGACAGGGUUACUACAGUCUUUUCCUUAGGGCAGAUGCAGCUCAAUACCUUUUUACUGCAGGGUAGGAGAUCUCAGCUUGCCCAAGAGGUGAGCCUAAUGUACCAUUUCAAUAGCGGUAUAAAGGUCUUAAUCUGCAUGUACACAAGAGAAGUUUGAGUUGUUUAUUCAAUUAGCUAACACAAGUUAUCUAAUAUCCCUUUUUGUUGGUGUAGAUAAACCCAGAAUAUUUUGCUGAGGUGAUGAUACCAUUGCUCCGAGCAAGGUGGCUGAAGGGAUUUUCUGCUCAGGAUUUCAGCAUAACUUUCUGACAGGCCAUGUAGAAAAGUUUUCUCCAUCCUCAAGUCAACAGAAGAAUACAAACCUCUGAAAAUAGAAAGCUUAGUGCAAAUGGUGUCAUCCUUAAUAUGUGAGGUAACUGCUUACAUAGCAGCAACAGCUGUAAAAAAAAACCCUAGCAAUAAAAAGUUAAUAAUUGGAUUCCUCUG